GGAUCAUUAAAGAGUUCUAUAACUCCCAAACCCAUGUGAACAUACCAUACGUUGCCUCGGCAGGUCGCGCCUACCCCGUAGCGUCCUACCCGGUAGACGCGGGUAAGCCUGCCGGCGGCCCAAGAAACUCUGUUUAGUAUUGAAUUCUGAACCUAUAACUAAAUAAGUUAAAACUUUCAACAACGGAUCUCUUGGUUCUGGCAUCGAUGAAGAACGCAGCGAAAUGCGAUAAGUAAUGUGAAUUGCAGAAUUCAGUGAAUCAUCGAAUCUUUGAACGCACAUUGCGCCCAUUAGUAUUCUAGUGGGCAUGCCUGUUCGAGCGUCAUUUCAACCCUUAAGCCCUCGUUGCUUAGUGUUGGGAGCCUACGGUACCCGUAGCUCCUCAAAGUUAGUGGCGGAGUCGGUUCACACUCUAGACGUAGUAAUUUUAUCUCGCCUAUCAGUUGGACCGGUCCCCUGCCGUAAAACACCCCCAAUUUCUAAAGGUUGACCUCGGAUCAGGUAGGAAUACCCGCUGAACUUAAGCAUAUCAAUAAGCGGAGGAAAAGAAACCAACAGGGAUUGCCCUAGUAACGGCGAGUGAAGCGGCAACAGCUCAAAUUUGAAAUCUGGCCUUCGGGUCCGAGUUGUAAUUUGUAGAGGAUGCUUUUGGCGCGGUGCCUUCCGAGUUCCCUGGAACGGGACGCCUUAGAGGGUGAGAGCCCCGUACGGUUGGACACCAAGCCUCUGUAUAGCUCCUUCGACGAGUCGAGUAGUUUGGGAAUGCUGCUCUAAAUGGGAGGUAAAUUUCUUCUAAAGCUAAAUAUUGGCCAGAGACCGAUAGCGCACAAGUAGAGUGAUCGAAAGAUGAAAAGCACUUUGAAAAGAGGGUUAAAUAGCACGUGAAAUUGUUGAAAGGGAAGCGUUUGCGACCAGACCUUUUCCUAGCGGAUCAUCCGGUGUUCUCACCGGUGCACUUCGCUAGGUUUAGGCCAGCAUCGGUUUCUGUAGGGGGAUAAAAGCUCUGGGAACGUAGCUCCUUCGGGAGUGUUAUAGCCCUCUGCAUAAUACCCUUACGGGGACCGAGGACCGC
rnacentral:rRNA from 1 species